rnacentral:lncRNA from 1 species
GCCGAGUGCAGAGCCAGGGCCCAGCACGAAGGCCUUGGGCUCCAGUCCGUGUGCCCCACAUCCCUACAUGAGUGAGGGUGGAGGGAUGGUGCCUCUGCCACGGCCACGGUGCCGCCGUCCACGUCAGCUCACUCUCAGCACAGGUGCUGUGUGACGGCCUCGGGCCACACCGCUUGUUCUGAGGCCCCUAGCAGGUCGGGCUUGUGCUGGCUGCACAUUGGCUGGUGAGCUUGGCGGGUCUGUGGGCACGGAGAGACCAGAACGUGCGUAACAGGCCCGAUGAGGGUGCCAGGCUGUGGCGACCCCCGAGCUUCAGAGGAGAGGGGCACCAGCCGGGGGCCCUGCACAGGCAGCCUCAGAGAGAGGAAAGCUCACGAUCUGGGAGAACUCCAGGCCUGGCCCAGUGAAGACGUCCUUAUCUUCAGCAGACAUUGCCCAGUGCAAGGGGAAGCCCAGGCACAGGCCCCAGUGCACAUGCAGAUCCCACCGUGUCUGCACAAGGCCUUGCCCCAACGAGGCCUGGGUGCCGUGUGAGGGCCGGGACGCUAACACAGCGGAGGGUACCCACGCGUGAGCUGCUCUGGGGUCCCUCCCCGUGUUUCUUCCUGUAAUGAAACUUGUACCCAAAUGGGAUAUGCAGGGUUGCACUGUGCAGUCGCUGUGUGUUUUAGGGUCUCAUACCCGUGUGCGCCAGCAGGACCACAGCUGUGACCGGCUGCUCCAGAAGAAGUGGGUGGGUUGAGACCCCACCGGCAGGGUCACUGGGGGUAGCAGGCCCUCUGUCAGCACUGACUUCUGUAUCAUGUCAGGGAUUUUUAGGGCGGCAAGCUCAGGUGGACAGGCAGUUUUAUUCUGUUUCCCAUGUCAAGUCCAGCCCCAGACUGACUUUCUGAGGUCACAGACGGAGCCUCACCCCAUCCAAGGCGGUGUCCUGGACUCCCACUGUGCUCCCCAGAGGGCAGGGUACCUGGGGCCCAGCCCGGGCGGCAGGAGGGACUCAGCCCCUCGCCCAGGCAGGAAGGGUCCCAAGCAGAGGCCCCUCCCUCAGGCACUCCCCAGCCCACACCUGCAGCACUGGGACCAAGACUAAUAAAACACCAGCCUCACGGAAGACAGCUUUAUCUUGUUGAUCGGAAGUCUGCCAGCCCAAUUUAUGAUGGAACAUAAGAUCUCUAAAUCUGAAUUUACGCUCUGUAGCGUAACGAGAGGUCAAUAAGAUUAAACGGGGGCUCAGGAGAGGACCAGCGUCAGGCUCACUGCGAGGUGCUGCACAGAAAACCCACAGCCAGAGCCCCUGGGCCCAGCCCAGGCAAGACCAGAAAAGGAGGGGGCAGGUGGGAGACCAGCCUGGGGCUCCCGGGAAGCCCACGGGAUGGAGGCGGGAGAGCCAGGAGGCCUGGGGCAACCCUGGGACGGUUCCUGGAUCGAGGAGAGCAGGGGGGUGAUGAGGGUUCCCUCAGGGCUGGGGAGCCUUCUCCUGGUCUCAGACCCACCCCCCUUCAGCUCCCAAGCCCUGGGUGCCCCUGGCUCUGAGGACAGUUGGGAAUCUUCCCUGAGGCAGGUUCAAGGACAGAGCUCUGACCCUGGCCCAGGGCUGCUUUGGGUGCCUAUGAACUCGGCUUCUGGCUCAGAGCAGUUCCCUGCACCCCUUCCUGAGCCCUCUGUCCUCUGGAACCCGUGGGCAGGGUGAGGGACGGGUGUUCCUUCUGGGUGGGGGCCUGGGCGCCCAGCCAGCACGACGCUGGCUUGCUGAGCUUAGGGCAGACCCCGACUUCAGAAUUUAUACAAAUAAAUGCAAUGAAAAGUGCUGGCA